UGGGGAAUAUUGCACAAUGGGCGAAAGCCUGAUGCAGCAACGCCGCGUGAGGGACGACGGCCUUCGGGUUGUAAACCUCUUUUAGCAAGGAAGAAGCGAAAGUGACGGUACUUGCAGAAAAAAGCGCCGGCUAACUACGUGCCAGCAGCCGCGGUAAUACGUAGGGCGCAAGCGUUAUCCGGAAUUAUUGGGCGUAAAGAGCUCGUAGGCGGUUUGUCGCGUCUGCUGUGAAAAACCCGAGGCUCAACCUCGGGCCUGCAGUGGGUACGGGCAGACUAGAGUGCGGUAGGGGAGAUUGGAACUCCUGGUGUAGCGGUGGAAUGCGCAGAUAUCAGGAAGAACACCGAUGGCGAAGGCAGAUCUCUGGGCCGUAACUGACGCUGAGGAGCGAAAAGGGUGGGGAGCAAAACAGGCUUAGAUACCCUGGUAGUCCACCCCGUAAACGUUGGGAACCUAAGUUGUGGGGUCCAUUCCACGGAUUCCGUGACGCAGCUAACGCAUUAAGUUCCCCGCCUGGGGAGUAACGGCCGCAAAGGCCUAAAAACUGCAAAAUGAAUUGACGGGGUCAUAAGCUGUUUCCU
rnacentral:rRNA from 1 species